rnacentral:rRNA from 1 species
ACUCCUACGGGAGGCAGCAGUGGGGAAUAUUGCACAAUGGGCGCAAGCCUGAUGCAGCCAUGCCGCGUGUAUGAAGAAGGCCUUCGGGUUGUAAAGUACUUUCAGCAGUGAGGAAGGUGGGUAUGUUAAUAGCAUAUUCAUUUGACGUUAGCUGCAGAAGAAGCACCGGCUAACUCCGUGCCAGCAGCCGCGGUAAUACGGAGGGUGCGAGCGUUAAUCGGAAUUACUGGGCGUAAAGCGCAUGCAGGUGGUUUGUUAAGUCAGAUGUGAAAGCCCGGGGCUCAACCUCGGAAUUGCAUUUGAAACUGGCAAACUAGAGUACUGUAGAGGGGGGUAGAAUUUCAGGUGUAGCGGUGAAAAUGCGUAGAGAUCUGAAGGAAUACCGGUGGCGAAGGCGGCCCCCUGGACAGAUACUGACACUCAGAUGCGAAAGCGUGGGGAGCAAAACAGGAUUAGAUACCCUGGUAGGCUCU